rnacentral:misc_RNA from 1 species
UUCUUGUGGACCUGUUGAAGAGGCACAAGGAUGGUUCUAGUUGUCGGGCAGUAAAUAGUGUAAUUAGAAGGGCAGCUGAUGCUAUCACCAAUUUAGCUCAUGAGAACAGUAGCAUUAAGACUCGCGUUAGGAUGGAAGGUGGAAUUCCUCCUCUGGUUGAGUUGCUUGAAUUCGUCGACACAAAGGUGCAAAGAGCUGCUGCUGGGGCACUACGAACACUGGCUUUUAAGAAUGAUGAGAAUAAAACGCAGAUUGUUGAAUGUAAUGCUCUUCCUACCCUCAUUCUAAUGCUACGAUCUGAGGAUGCUGCUAUACACUAUGAAGCUGUUGGUGUGAUCGGAAAUCUGGUGCAUUCAUCCCCAAACAUAAAGAAAGAAGUCCUUGCUGCCGGUGCUCUGCAACCUGUUAUUGGUUUACUUAGUUCCUGCUGCUCUGAGAGCCAGAGGGAGGCUGCUUUGUUACUUGGACAAUUUGCUGCAACAGACUCGGAUUGCAAGGUUCACAUUGUACAAAGGGGUGCAGUUCAACCUUUGAUAGAGAUGCUUCACUCUCCUGAUCUACAGCUGAGGGAAAUGUCAGCCUUUGCACUGGGGAGGUUGGCACAGGACU